UCUGGUUGCUUCACUGCUGUGGAGUUUCUACAUGCUGCUGUUGCUGGAUCUGUGUUAGGAGAGUCCUGUUUUGCCCUUUUUUCACAGGCAUGGAUCAACAACUGCUGGUCUUGGAUACCAUUGCAGAGUUGCUGGAUGUGCUGUUCAGGUGUUUGAAGCUCUGGUAACUGCUCUGUGGGAGGAGACAGCUCCAGCCCAACUGCCCUUCUCUACAAGCCUCUAGCCAAGGUGUCUGCAAGAGAAGUUUUACAGCUUCUGAAGAGUAUUGAAGACAGGCUGACUGUAGGCAUAGCUGCCUCUCACGAGCAGGGGUUGAGAGACUGCAGGCUUGGGAGUGAAAGCCUUGCCAGAGGCUUAUUCCCAAGUGCAGUUGUGUUCACAGCUUCCUCAGAGUCAAGAUCAGAGGGUAAAGAAAGAAGACAUGGAUCAG